CCUGGUGAUUUAAUUCAGGGGCAACACCUCUUCCCAUUCCGAACAGAGAAGUUAAGACCUGAAUCCCCGAUGAUACUGUGUGGGCAACUGCACGGAAAAGUAGGAUUCGCCGGGU
rnacentral:rRNA from 5 species